rnacentral:tRNA from 1 species
CAUUAAAUGACUGAAAAAGUAUAGAUUUUUUAAAUCUAAUUAUGAUAUUUAAAAUAUAUCUUUAAUGA